rnacentral:lncRNA from 1 species
GUUACAACAUGUCGAAACUCACAAUUUAGUAAAAAGAAUUUGUCAAUAUCUUUCACGGUUGUUGAAAAUAAGAGAAAAUAAGCCAAAUUCAAAAUUUAGAAUAUGACCUUGACCUUAUUUUCAUUUUUUUGGACCAAGGACCUCAAAUCUAAAGACCCUAGGCCUAUAUCACUGAUGGUUUACCAGUAAGAAACGCAUAUCACUUAUAUCAAAUGCAUAAGGGGAAAUAACUCUCAUAUGGAGUCUCCGGAAAACUUCGGUCCAAAUGAAUAUUCUAUUCCUGAAGACGUAACGAGCAAUUUGGUAAAAUAAAUUUGUCGUAAUCUUUUACGGUUGCGAAGGAGUAGUGGCCACAAGAAUAACAGUGUUUGGGGAGAUAACUCUUACAACGUAAAGUAUUUUGUUACACAGUUGUAAAUUUUAAAGCGUAUAAACUAUACGACAUCAUAUUCCAAAUAUCUAAGCGACAUCUUUUGAAACAUCAAUACUACGCAAGAAAAAAAUUUAGGCGGAAGAAAAAAAAAAACAAAAAAUAAUAAUUAAAAACCAAUUGUUCAGAGAAAAAUUGAAGGUCUUUCCA